rnacentral:hammerhead_ribozyme from 1 species
CCACUGCUGAAGAGUCCCAUGAUAAAACGAAAUGGCCAUCCAGUGC